rnacentral:rRNA from 1 species
UACGGAGGGUGCGAGCGUUGUCCGGAAUCAUUGGGCGUAAAGGGCGCGUAGGUGGCCCCUCAAGCGUGCGGUGAAGGUCAGGGGCUCAACCCCUGAUCGGCCGUGCGAACUGGGGAGCUUGAGCACUGUAGAGGAUGGCGGAAUACCCAGUGUAGUGGUGAAAUACGUAGAGAUUGGGUAGAACACCGGUGGCGAAGGCGGCCAUCUGGGCAUUAACUGACGCUGAGACGCGAAAGCGUGGGGAGCAAACAGG